rnacentral:lncRNA from 1 species
GUACACCCCUCCAACCAAAAUGCCCUUUUCUUUCUUCAAUUAAACCAUUCAUAUGUUGCCUUCUUUUGUCCCAUGUGCUUCAUACUCCAAGAAAAUGCUCUCUUCCAACUUUCCAUCAAUGAAAAUCGUGCAUUCCUCUCUCCAUGCAGCAAAGGAAAUGAAAUCCACAAGCAAAGACACAAAUGCCGUGAGCACACUCCUUUUCC